GAUGAACGCUGGCGGCGUGCCUAAUACAUGCAAGUCGAGCGAACGGACGAGAAGCUUGCUUCUCUGAUGUUAGCGGCGGACGGGUGAGUAACACGUGGAUAACCUACCUAUAAGACUGGGAUAACUUCGGGAAACCGGAGCUAAUACCGGAUAAUAUUUUGAACCGCAUGGUUCAAAAGUGAACGACGGUCUUGCUGUCACUUAUAGAUGGAUCCGCGCUGCAUUAGCUAGUUGGUAAGGUAACGGCUUACCAAGGCAACGAUGCAUAGCCGACCUGAGAGGGUGAUCGGCCACACUGGAACUGAGACACGGUCCAGACUCCUACGGGAGGCAGCAGUAGGGAAUCUUCCGCAAUGGGCGAAAGCCUGACGGGGCAACGCCGCGUGAGUGAUGAAGGUCUUCGGAUCGUAAAACUCUGUUAUUAGGGAAGAACAUAUGUGUAAGUAACUGUGCACAUCUUGACGGUACCUAAUCAGAAAGCCACGGCUAACUACGUG
rnacentral:rRNA from 1 species